GGGGCCUACGGGGGGCAGCAGUGAGGAAUAUUGGUCAAUGGGCGGGAGCCUGAACCAGCCAAGCCGCGUGAGGGAAGAAGGUACAGCGUAUCGUAAACCUCUUUUGUCAGGGAACAAAGGCGGGGACUAGUCCCCGGAUGAGGGUACCUGAAGAAAAAGCAUCGGCUAACUCCGUGCCAGCAGCCGCGGUAAUACGGAGGAUGCGAGCGUUAUCCGGAUUUAUUGGGUUUAAAGGGUGCGUAGGCGGUCCGGCAAGUACGCGGUAAAAGCCCGGGGCUCAACCCCGGCGUGCCGUUGAAACUGGG
rnacentral:rRNA from 1 species